GAAGACAGCGAUACGUGCAAAAGACCGACUUUCAUUAAACUGUGAAGCAUUUGAGAAAUAUAAACAAAUUCUGUUAGAAGAGAGAAGACAAACCAGAUUUGAAAAAGAGAAAAAGAUAAUAAGAUUAUUUCAGUGAAAUGCUGGCCAUCGGUUUUGUAUGACGUCAAAAUGAAUAGAAACAUUAUUUAUGGAGUUAUAAUUACUCAUCGAUUUUAAUCGGUAUAACGCUGUUGAGGAACCUUCUGAUUCACAUAUCAACGUAAUGUUUUGCUCAAAAUCAAAUUAUUGAAUGAAAUCACACUAUAACUUGUAGAUUUUGAUAUUUUUCAAAAUGCUGUAUUUCGCAAGUUUGAAGUGGUCCCGAAAUCUCACCACAACACGAGAAAUAGAUUUGAUUUUAAUUUUCGUAUAGUCGGUAAUCUUAUCGUCAUUUAAUCAAAUUAUUCAACCCCAACUUGAGCUGACUCACUUAUUUAUCCACUCUGGAUUACCUGCGAAGGAACCCAAAGUAUAAUAUACUAUGGACUAUGAUCAAUAGGAUAAUUCUAGUGA